rnacentral:rRNA from 1 species
UACAGAGGGUGCGAGCGUUGUCCGGAAUCACUGGGCGUAAAGGGCGCGUAGGCGGCUUGAUAAGCGUGCGGUGAAAGCCCGGGGCUCAACCCCCGGGUCGGCCGUGCGAACUGUCGAGCUGGAGCACUGUAGAGGCAGGCGGAAUUCCGGGUGUAGCGGUGGAAUGCGUAGAGAUCCGGAAGAACACCGGUGGCGAAGGCGGCCUGCUGGGCAGUGGCUGACGCUGAGGCGCGACAGCGUGGGGAGGCAAACAGG